CCUAUGGGGGGCAGCAGGCGCGAAAACUUUACAAUGCGGGAAACCGUGAUAAGGAAACCCCGAGUGCCAGCAUAGGCUGGCUGUCCGCCAGUGUAAAUAACUGGUGAAGAAAGGGCCGGGCAAGACCGGUGCCAGCCGCCGCGGUAAUACCGGCGGCUCGAGUGGUGGCCACUAUUACUGGGCUUAAAGGGUCCGUAGCUUGAUAUGCAAGUCUCUUGAGAAAUCCGCCGGCUUAACUGGCGGGCGUUCAGGGGAAACUGCAUUUCUAGGGACCGGGAGAGGUGAGAGGUACUGCCGGGGUAGGAGUGAAAUCCUGUAAUCCCGGUGGGACCACCUAUAGCGAAGGCAUCUCACCAGAACGGGUCCGACAGUGAGGGACGAAAGCUGGGGGAGCAAACCGGAUUAGAUACCCCCGUAGUCC
rnacentral:rRNA from 1 species